GUUCUCCUGGCACAAGCUGGCAUCAUGCGCCUGCAGCAUUUGAUCAGCUCAGACCAGGAGCAGUGCAGAAGAGUGCAGCAGGAAACACAUUGAAACUGAAGAUAUUAGAGAAGAAGGAGCAAAGCCUGUUGAAUACCUUGGUUGCAUUCUUUGGAGAAUCCUCAUGCAUUUGCUGUCUGGAGAAGUGAGUAACAAAAAUGCUGGUGUUCGGCCCAAGCCUGAUAUUCAAGUAGACCUUGAUGAACGGUGCAUUUCUGUGCAAGGGAUCAUUUCAAUUAAUUGAAUAAAAACAUCCUGCAGGAUGUUUAUCAGCGAAAUAAAGCUUGGAGCUCAGAAGGCAAAUUGGAGGCAAAAUCAAUUGAAGGUAGAACGGAGUAGGAGGAAGGAGGAGAGCGAAGGUAGAAGAGACCCAGGUACAGGGACUGCAUCUAUCAAUGGACUUCAUCACAUUCUGGACACAGUAGGUCAUAGGAUCCUCAUUCCGGAGGAAUCCUCUCUACACCAGGAAGAAAGGAGUGAAGACACAGAGACACUGCAAAGUGCCCCCUCAGGUGAUCACCAUUAGGUUACAUCCGCUAUCUUAACACUUCUCCAGGACUAUCCACUCUUCAUCAAACCUACGCAUAUAAGUAUCAUUUCCUCUGCUUCUCUGGGUCUUCACUUCUGAAGGGGCCCAUGUCCUGUAAAACUUAUAUCA